UGUGAGUGUGUCUCUGUGUGUGUAGGGGUCGAGGUGGGGGGGGUCCGUGUUUGCGAUCUGAACCUUUGGUACCUACAAGGAGGGUGUCUCACCGAACGGUAGCUAAAACCUCACCAGAACCGCGCGGAAGUGAGAAGUCGCGGCCAAAGGCGCCCGCAGAAGCCUCCUCUCUGGGCCGGACCCCAGCCCGAGCGGCCGAAAGGAGCCCCCCGCCCGGAUCACAGCUGCUGCAGCUGCCGCUGAAAUUCGCUGUGGCCGCUGCCUCUUCCCGCUUUAAUCCCAGACCUCCAGUCAUUGGGCAGCUCCUCAGAGGCAAGAAGUCAACACCAUGGCAACCCGACAAGCCUAUCAAAUCACCGGCUGGCGUGACAGCAGCAACACUGCAGGCAGGAGUGGGCUGGGCGGAAGAGCAGAGUGGCCACUGCGCUCAGAAGUUUACAAGGAAAGGGGAAAUGUCUGAAAUGGAGAUUGCACAAUCCUGUCUUGAAGCAGAAGACUCAGCUAGAGCACAUCUGGAAACACCUGGCACUCCUCAAUAGAAUUCAAAUGCUAUUUUAAAAGAGUCCAUUUCUAAGAAGAUGUGGUUCGAACAUACAGAGCUACAUAAUAUGAGUAAAAUAGGACCUAACAGUAGUGUUCUCCAGCAUUGCUCUGCCUUUCCUUUUCUGGAUGUAACAACAUUACUAAGAAAGGAAGAAAAAGCAAAAAUCUGCUCUCGGGGAGAUUCCAGAAUGUUGGAAAGCCCCAAAUGGAAGUCUCUGCUUUGGUUACAGGACAUAAGGUUUAAUAAAUAAAAAGAUGCUCAUCUGGGAUGCUGCACCAAUUAUCAUGUACUAAAUAAGGUUACCUACUUCACUCUCCAGGUAGAAAUGUCUAUCAUAAGCAUGUGCCACAGAAGGUCUCUCAAGUAUCAUUAUUGGCUGUGUUGAAUUUUGUUUUUAGUUCUCUUUUAUAAGGUCUGUAGUCUUACUUUCAGUGAGGAAGUGUUUUCUCAGGUUCUCAAGAAAGUAACAAAAUGCCAGCAUUGUCAAGGUCACCAUUGCCACUGAAUUAUCUUACUGUCUGAUUAUUCCAUCUUCCUCUGCAUCAUAUUAGCCUGAUGACUACAUUCUAAUUAUUUAAAGCGUUAUGUAAAUCAAAGCAGUAAAUGUAAUUUCUAGUCUUACUAGAUAUCAUGUACAUUAGGUCGAAUAACUCUAGAAAUGUCGUCAUAAUCAUGUCAUGCCUAAUGAUGACCUACUCAGCCCCUGCCAACAUCAUUCAAUUACUCAUUUCAGUAUUGAUUUUUCUCAUGCCUCUCUUCGUGGCAUUUAAACAGCCCUCACAUCUCCCCUUUUACUGAGGUGUAAUGUUGUAUAAUGACAGAGAUGCUUUGCUUCCCAGAUUCAUAAUGUUACACUCUGUUUCAAAUCCUUUUGGAGACAAAUUGGGGAAUCAAUAUAUAAAUAAUGACACACUUAUUUUUAAUUAAAAUCACUGCUUUCACAGAAAUGGUAUAUUAAAAUUAUUUUUGCUAAAAAAAUUUUAAAUACCUAUGUACGAUAAAAAGACUGCCAAUCCUUGGGAUCAAGAAUAUAAUUUGCCCCAAAUAACUUUUCUGUAAAAGUAGAAUUCUUAAUGGAAAAUAGAUUAAUACAUAUAAUUUCAAGAUCUAACCUUAAAAAUGGAAAUAAUGUGUCCAUUUUUAAAAAUAAAUCAUAUUUACAUACA